CUGAAAAACAAGUCUUCACAUCCCUUUUACCCAGGAUCUACUUUCCAUCCCUGCAAAACAGUGCCUAGAGAUGUAGCCCAGCUGGUGGAGUGCUUGUCUCUUGUGUUCGAAUCCCUGUGUUUGAUAGCCAGCACUACAUAAACUGGGUGUGGUGGUGUACACCAAUAAUCCCAGCACCUAGGAGGUAGAGGCAAGAGGAUCAGAAUGUCAAGAUCAAGACAUAGAGCACACUAAAUCAGUGGAUCAACCAAAAACCAAUUGUAACAGGGGCCCAGACCUUAGUGCAACUGACUCCAUGAUGCAAACGCCAUACUGUGAAACUCAGCUUCUCCAGUUUAUUGUCCUAGCCAACUCUUCCUUUCAUUUUGUCUGCCCUAUGUCUGUAUUUUCCCAUACUGGACAGGAUGAGAAGUUGACUUUCGAGCCUGGACUCCCACUUCUCCACUCACUGCCCAGUGAACAGAUUUGUGCUAUUAGUGCUCAGCCUCAGUUUCCCCUUUCAUUUUACAACACCAAGUAUGUCUCUUGGGAGGGCCUUCUCUCUGGGACCAACAGAUGGCAGAUAAAACCUCUCACCCCUUGCUCUAUGCAUCUUGUUUACCUGACUGCCCCUGAUCUGUUUCAUUUUAAAUAACCUGGUAAUCCAGAAAGCAAACUAUUUUUCUGAGUCCUGUGAGUCAUUGUACCAACUAAUCGGAUGGAGCAGUGGGC
rnacentral:lncRNA from 1 species